UACCAGCACCCGCGUGGUCGGGACGGAUUAUUGGCCUAAGGCAAUCCGUAGCCGGUUUUACAAGUCCUCCGUUAAAUCCAGCUGCUUAACAGAUGGGCUGCGGAGGAUACUAUAAGACUAGGAGGCAGGAGAGGCAAGCGGUACUCAGUGGGUAGGGGUAAAAUCCGUUGAUCCAUUGAAGACCACCAGUGGCGAAGGCGGCUUGCCAGAAUGCGCUCGACGGUGAGGGAUGAAAGCUGGGGGAGCAAACCGG
rnacentral:rRNA from 1 species